rnacentral:rRNA from 1 species
AUGGUUAGGAGUGUACCGAUUGGUGAGAAGCUCUUCAUAGGAGGAGACCUCAAUGGCCACGUGGGUACAUCUAACACAGGUUUUGAAGGGGCGCAUGGGGGCUUUGGCUAUGACAUCAGGAAUCAAGAAGGAGAAGAUGUCUUAAGCUUUGCUCUAGCCUACAACAUGAUUGUAGCUAACACCCUCUUUAGAAAGAGAGAAUCACAUCUGGUGACUUUUAGUAGUGGCCAACACUCUAGCCAGAUUGAUUUCAUCCUCUCGAGAAGAGAAGAUAGGCGUGCGUGCCUAGACUGUAAGGUGAUACCUGGAGAGAGUGUUGUACCCCAGCAUAAGCUGGUGGUUGCUGACUUCCGCUUUCGGAUUCGUGUCCAGCGGGAUAAGCGUGCCAAAGUCGCUAGAACGAAGUGGUGGAAGCUCAAGGGGGAGGUAGCUCGGGCGUUCAAGGAGAGGGUCAUUAAGGAGGGCCCUUGGGAGGAAGGAGGGGAUGCGGACAAUGUGUGGAUGAAGAUGGCGACUUGCAUUCGUAAGGUGGCCUCGGAGGAGUUUGGAGUGUCCAGGGGAAGGAGAAGCGAAGAUAAGGAUACCUGGUGGUGGAAUGAUGAUAUCCAGAAGACGAUUAAAGAGAAGAAAGAUUGCUUCAGACACCUAUACCUAGAUAGGAGUGCAGGCAACAUAGAGAGGUACAAGAUGGCGAAGAAGGCCGCAAAGCGAGUUGUUGGUGAAGCAAGGGGUCGGGCAUAUGAGGACCUCUACCAACGGUUAGGCACGAAGGAAGGCGAAAGGGACAUCUAUAAGAUGGCCAAGAUCCGAGAGAGGAAGACGAGGGAUAUUGGCCAAGUCAAAUGCAUCAAGGACGGAGCAGGCCAACUCUUGGUGAAGGAUGAGGAGAUUAAGCAUAGAUGGCGGGAGUACUUCGACAAGCUGUUCAAUGGGGAGAAUAAGAGUUCUACCAUUGAACUGGACGACUCCUUUGAUGAGACCAACAUGUGUUUUGUGCGGCGAAUCCAGGAGUCUGAGGUCAAGGAGGCUUUAGAAAGGAUGAAAGGAGGCAAGGCGAUGGGCCCUGAUUGUAUCCCCAUUGAGGUGUGGAAAGGUCUCGGGGACACAGCGAUAGUAUGGCUAACCAAGCUUUUCAACCUCAUUUUUCGGGCAAACAAGAUGCCAGAAGAAUGGAGACGGAGUAUAUUAGUACCAAUCUUCAAGAACAAGGGGGAUGUUCAGAGUUGUACUAAUUACCGUGGAAUUAAGCUGAUGAGCCAUACAAUGAAGCUAUGGGAGAGAGUCAUUGAGCACCGCUUAAGAAGAAUGACAAGCGUGACCAAAAAUCAGUUUGGUUUCAUGCCUGGGAGGUCGACCAUGGAAGCCAUUUUCUUGGUACGACAACUUAUGGAGAGAUAUAGGGAGCAAAAGAAGGACUUGCAUAUGGUGUUCAUUGACUUGGAGAAGGCCUAUGAUAAGAUACCACGGAAUGUCAUGUGGUGGGCCUUGGAGAAACACAAAGUCCCAGCAAAGUACAUUACCCUCAUCAAGGACAUGUACGAUAAUGUUGUGACAAGUGUUCGAACAAGUGAUGUCGACACUAAUGACUUCCCGAUUAAGAUAGGACUGCAUCAGGGGUCAGCUUUGAGCCCUUAUCUUUUUGCAUUGGUGAUGGAUGAGGUCACAAGGGAUAUACAAGGAGAUAUCCCAUGGUGUAUGCUCUUUGCGGAUGAUGUGGUGCUAGUUGACGAUAGUCGGACGGGGGUAAAUAGGAAGUUAGAGUUAUGGAGACAAACCUUGGAAUCAAAAGGGUUUAGGCUUAGUAGAACUAAAACCGAGUACAUGAUGUGCAGUUUCAGUACUACUAGGUGUGAGGAGGAGGAGGUUAGCCUUGAUGGCCAGGUGGUUCCCCAGAAGGACACCUUUCGGUAUUUGGGGUCAAUGCUGCAGGGGGAUGUGGGUAUUGAUGAAGAUGUGAACCAUCGAAUCAAAGCCGGAUGGAUGAAGUGGCGCCAAGCUUCUGGCAUUCUCUGUGACAAGAGAGUGCCACAAAAGCUAAAAGGCAAGUUCUACAGGACGGCGCUUCGACCCGCAAUGUUGUAUGGCGCUGAGUGUUGGCCGACUAAAAGGCGACAUGUUCAACAGUUAGGUGUGGCGGAGAUGCGUAUGUUGAGAUGGAUGUGUGGCCACACGAGGAAGGAUCGAGUCUGGAAUGAUGAUAUACGAGAUAGAUUUGGGGUAGCACCAAUUGAAGAGAAGCUUGUCCAACAUCGUCUGAGAUGGUUUGGGCAUAUUCAGCGCAGGCCUCCAGAAGCUCCAGUGCAUAGCGGACGGCUAAAGCGUGCGGAGAAUGUCGAGAGAGGGCGGGGUAGACCGAAUUUGACAUGGGAGGAGUCCGUUAAGAGAGACCUGAAGGAUUGGAGUAUCACCAAAGAGCUAGCUAUGGAUAGGGGUGCGUGGAAGCUUGCUAUCCAUGUGCCAGAGCCAUGA